GCAUUAUACGGCGAAACUGCGAAUGGCUCAUUAAAUCAGUUAUCAGUUUAUUUGAUAAUACCUUACUACUUGGAUAACCGUGGUAAUUCUAGAGCUAAUACAUGCUUCAAAUCCCGACUCACGAAGGGGUGUAUUUAUUAGAUUAAAAACCAAUGCCCUUCGGGGCUUACUGGUGAUUCAUAAUAACUUCUCGAAUCGCAUGCCCUUGCGGCGGCGAUGGUUCAUUCAAAUUUCUGCCCUAUCAACUUUCGAUGGCAGGGUCUUGGCCUGCCAUGGUUACAACGGGUAACGGAGGGUUAGGGCUCGACCCCGGAGAAGGAGCCUGAGAAACGGCUACUACAUCCAAGGAAGGCAGCAGGCGCGCAAAUUACCCAAUCCCGAUACGGGGAGGUAGUGACAAUAAAUACUGAUACAGGGCUCUUUUGGGUCUUGUAAUUGGAAUGAGUACAAUUUAAAUCCCUUAACGAGGAACAAUUGGAGGGCAAGUCUGGUGCCAGCAGCCGCGGUAAUUCCAGCUCCAAUAGCGUAUAUUAAAGUUGUUGCAGUUAAAAAGCUCGUAGUUGAACCUUGGGCCUGGCUGGCCGGUCCGCCUCACCGCGUGCACUGGUUCGGCC
rnacentral:rRNA from 1 species